CUGAAAGUCUUGUUGAGUGUCGGAGAAAGAGCAAAAAGGAAAGCUAAGAAAUUGGUAUUCAGAAGCAAACCUGCACUGAGAUUUAUUCACUGGAGCUGACAAGUGACAACUAUCCCAAGUUGCACUUUGCAGUCCAAACCUUCUGCAAGUUCUGCUUAGUAAGACUUCACUGGCCUUCUUCUAAUGAGCUGCACUGGAACCAGCCCCAGCAAACCCAACGGUCCACACUAUCAGGAAGUAAUCACCACUCUAAUCAGCCAUAAAGAUGAUGUCUCAGCAUAGACAACAGGUGCAAUGUAGCUGAUCGGUAUUCCGGUG
ensembl:lncRNA